rnacentral:rRNA from 1 species
AGUGAACGCUGGCGGCAGGCCUAACACAUGCAAGUCGAACGGCAGCACAGUAAGUGCUUGCUCUUACGGGUGGCGCGUGGCGGACGGGUGCCUUAUACAUCGGAUUCUACUUUUUCGUGGGGGAUAACGUAGGGAAACUUACGCUAAUACCGCAUACGUCCUACGGGUGAAAGCACGGGAUCUUCUGACCUUUCGCGAUUGUAUUAGCCGAUUUCGCAUUAGCUAGUUGGCGGGGUAAAGGCCCACCUAGGCGACGAUGGUUAGGUGGUAUGAGAGGGUGAACAGCCACACUGUAAGAGAGACACGGCCCACACUCCUAGGGGGAGACGCAGUGGGGAAUACUACGGAAGGGAGGAAAGCGUGAUCUAGGAAAACCGCGUGAGUGAUGAAGGAGUUAGGGUUGGAAAGCGAUGUUGUUGGGAAAGAAGAAAAGCACGUUCAGCUGCGAAGAUAAUGACGGUACCAAAAGAAUAAGCCCCGGCUAACUCCGUG